rnacentral:rRNA from 1 species
CGUCCAGACUCCUACGGGAGGCAGCAGUGGGGAAUAUUGCACAAUGGGGGAAACCCUGAUGCAGCGACGCCGCGUGAGCGAAGAAGUACCUCGGUAUGUAAAGCUCUAUCAGCAGGGAAGAAGAUGACGGUACCUGACCAAGAAGCUCCGGCUAAAUACGUGCCAGCAGCCGCGGUAAUACGUAGGGGGCAAGCGUUAUCCGGAUUUACUGGGUGUAAAGGGAGCGUAGACGGCGAUGCAAGUCUGAAGUGAAAGGCGGGGGCCCAACCCCCGGACUGCUUUGGAAACUGUAUGGCUGGAGUGCAGGAGAGGUAAGUGGAAUUCCUGGUGUAGCGGUGAAAUGCGUAGAUAUCAGGAGGAACACCGGCGGCGAAGGCGGCCUGCUGGACUGCGACUGACGUUGAGGCUCGAAAGCGUGGGGAGCGAACAGGAUUAGAUACCCGCGUA